CUCUGUGACUCCUACGGGAGGCAGCAGUGGGGAAUAUUGCACAAUGGGCGCAAGCCUGAUGCAGCAACGCAGCGUGAGCGAUGAAGGCCUUCGGGUCGUAAAGCUCUGUCCUCAAGGAAGAAUAAAUGACGGUACUUGAGGAGGAAGCCCCCGGCUAACUACGUGCCAGCAGCCGCGGUAAUACGUAGGGGCAAGCGUUAUCCGGAAUCACUGGGCGUAAAGGGUGCGUAGGCGGUUUUUCAAGUCAGAAGUGAAAGGCUAUGGCUCAACCAUAGUAAGCUUUUGAAACUGUUAAACUUGAGUGCAGGAGAGGAAAGUGGAAUUCCUAGUGUAGAGGUGAAAUUCGUAGAUAUUAGGAGGAACACCAGUGGCGAAGGCGACUUUCUGGACUGUAACUGACGCUGAGGCACGAAAGCGUGGGGAGCGAACAGGAUUAGAUACCCUGGUAG
rnacentral:rRNA from 1 species